GGGGGUGGGAAGUAAGAGAAAAUGAGGAAGAGAACAAAUGCACUUGAGACCUAAGGUGAAGAGAUAUGGAAUCACCACUGUUGUCCCGGAAUGGUGAUGACAGGGUUGACAUUCAAGAAGGAAAAAUUGUAAUUCUAAUUAAGCAUCUGUCUGGCUGCUGAGCUGAAAGAAGACCAUAAGGAAGCAAGAGUGAAAGCAGGUCGGCUACUGCAAUAAUCCACUUGAGAUGAUGGUGGCUCAGACCAGAGUGAUAAUAAUGGGGUGGUAAGAAGAGAGAAUUCUUGAUACACCUUGAAGGGCAGGUCCAGGAACUGGGUCUGGAGCCUUGAAAGCAGAAGAGAAACUAGAGUAAACUAGAGGCAGGCGGAACGAGAAACGUGACCAGUUCCAGCUACUGAAACAGUGGCCUUCGUGAGACCUGUGAUCUCUUUCAGCAGCAGACUGUCCAACGUGGGACCACAGACAAUAGACGAAAGAGAAAAACAGCAAAUCCACUUUCACUGGUCAAAUUAAAAUUGUAAAGUCCUCAUUUUCAGGUCG